rnacentral:rRNA from 1 species
CCUACGGGUGGCAGCAGUGGGGAAUAUUGCACAAUGGGCGCAAGCCUGAUGCAGCCAUGCCGCGUGUGUGAAGAAGGCCUUCGGGUUGUAAAGCACUUUCAGCGGGGAGGAAGGCGUUAAGGUUAAUAACCUUGGCGAUUGACGUUACCCGCAGAAGAAGCACCGGCUAACUCCGUGCCAGCAGCCGCGGUAAUACGGAGGGUGCAAGCAUUAAUCGGAAUUACUGGGCGUAAAGCGCACGCAGGCGGUCUGUCAAGUCGGAUGUGAAAUCCCCGGGCUCAACCUGGAACUGCAUUCGAAACUGGCAGGCUAGAGUCUUGUAGAGGGGGGUAGAAUUCCAGGUGUAGCGGUGAAAUGCGUAGAGAUCUGGAGGAAUACCGGUGGCGAAGGCGGCCCCCUGGACAAAGACUGACGCUCAGGUGCGGAAGCGUGGGGAGCAAACAGGAUUAGAUACCCGAGUAGUC